UUCUCUCCGCCUAGGUUUUUGUUUUGUUCCGUUUUUCAGGUGAUGUCUGGGAUAUAAGGAGAAUCUGUUGAUUGGAUAUUGCAGAGCCGCGGAUAGCUAAAUUAGGUUCUUCCAAUUGGAGAAGCACUGGUUACUGACAGCUUACAUCCUUGGCUAGCCAUUGCUACACUGCGUUCAAAAUGAACCGCCAAUAUAAAGAAGAUCAUGAUGAAGUAACUGUCAUGGGAUUUGAAGUUCCGAGAUCACCUGAUUCAAGCUACAACAACGUGUACCCCGGGAAUGAAGAUGAGGGGCGGGAACCACCUCUAUUCCCCCCGCACCUGCACCAGACCGUGCUGAACCACCCAGCAAACAGAGACCAAUCUGCAUCCCUCCCGUCCCCACAGAACGUGGUCCUAAACCAUCUUUACAUCGAGAACAGCAACCGAGAAACACCAAGAACCGUGGUGGCACUAGGUACAACGCAUCGCUUCCGCUCAAAAUACGUCACCGUCGUGCUUUACAAACCGGUCCCGAGAAGGGGUGGCAGCACCUGAAAUUCGUCCAUCACAAUGUAC